rnacentral:piRNA from 1 species
UAGCAGCUACAGUAUUGGACGGUGCA